rnacentral:rRNA from 1 species
UACGUAGGUGGCAAGCGUUGUCCGGCUUUAUUGGGCGUAAAGCGAGCGCAGGCGGUUUCUUAAGUCUGAUGUGAAAGCCCCCGGCUUAACCGGGGAGGGUCAUUGGAAACUGGGAGACUUGAGUGCAGAAGAGGAAAGUGGAAUUCCAUGUGUAGCGGUGAAAUGCGUAGAGAUAUGGAGGAACACCAGUGGCGAAGGCGACUUUCUGGUCUGUAACUGACACUGAGGCGCGAAAGCGUGGGGAGCAAACAGG